rnacentral:rRNA from 1 species
AUGCUACUGCACGAGGUGCACCUGGAUGAGUUGACUGAGGAUGACAUCCUAUGGAAGCACACGGAAUCUGGGCACUACUCCGCGGCCUCCGCUUACAGGGCACAAUUUUUGGGCAUGGUCCUCUCCCCCAUGGACCAAAUGGUCUGGAAGGCUUGGGCCCCACCAAAAGUCAAGUUCUUUGCUUGGCUCGCGCUUCAGGAUACGAUCUAG